GACGGUGAUCUUCCUCAUUCCUUUCUGGCACUUGAAACCAUUGCCCAAAGGAUCUCGAAGUCACCAAGAAUAAGUUGGAGGUUGCCAAAGGCUUGUUUGAAAAGGUUUAUCAAGCCCGACCGAGAACUCUGACAUUU
rnacentral:snoRNA from 1 species